rnacentral:rRNA from 1 species
UACGGGAGGCAGCAGUGGGGAAUAUUGCACAAUGGGCGAAAGCCUGAUGCAGCUAUGCCGCGUGUAUGAAGAAGGCCUUAGGGUUGUAAAGUACUUUCAUCGGGGAGGAAAAAACAAAACUAAUAAUUUUAUUUCUUGACGUUACCCGAAAAAGAAGCACCGGCUAACUCCGUGCCAGCAGCCGCGGUAAUACGGAGGGUGCUAGCGUUAAUCAGAAUUACUGGGCGUAAAGAGCACGUAGGUGGUUUUUUUAAAGUCAGAUGUGAAAUCCCUGGGCUUAACCUGGAACUGCAUUUUGAAACUGAAAUACUAGAGUAUCGUAGAGGGAGGUAGAAUUCUAGGUGUAGCGGUUGAAAUGCGUAGAUAUCUGGAGGAAUACCUGUGGCGAAAGCGGCCUCCUAAACGAAUACUGACACUGAGGUGCGAAAGCGUGGGGAGCAAACAGGGAUUAGAUACC